ensembl:lncRNA
AAGCAACAAACUAUAAUAAAAAUAACAAACCUGUAGACAUAUUUAAAAAAAAAAAUCCUAAAAAUUAGAAAAUCACUUUACAAAAUUACUAAAACUUCAAAAUUAAGAUGAAAUGGAAAAUAUAUCAAAUAGUUAUUAGUAAUAUUAAUAAAAACUAUAACAGUAUCUAAAUUACAUUAAAAUAAAAUAUUCACGUUUUGUGAAAUCUUUUUAUUUAUCAAAUAACCCAUUUAAAAAUAAUUAUGAAUCAAGUAUGUGUUUUAUUUUAAUAUUUGUAUUUUAUUUUAAUUAUACUUUUUUUCAGCAUUUCUAUUGCAAUCUCAUGAACUCCCUGCUGUUGUUUCAUUUUCCGACUGUUCAUAUGACUUCAGAAGACCUACAGGGAAAUAUAGGGUUUGUGUCUUGUGGACCAGUUUUAUGAUCCUUCUCUAUAGUGCUUCUGCAUCCUCUUUGAAGUGUGAGAGCCUCAGCUCCAGUGGAGACUAAUUGCAUGGAGAAGUGCAGUAAAGCUCUUUGAAAAAAAUCAUACAGGUUUGGAGCAUCAUGCGAGUGAGUAAGUGAUGAUACAGUUUUCAUUUUUGCGUAAACUAUUCCUUUUAAAUCCACCUCGGAUCUCACUGACUGUGAAUGAAUUUCACCGUGUGAUUUCAUCAGGGAUGCAGGCCUGCUGCCGUUCUCUCUCUUUUCACUCUCACUGAAGCCCCAGACAGAAGCUCCCUGGAGACUUUCGCUUCUUGUUUAAACCUGACACAAAUUCCAUGUCACAAUGCCCAGAGUGACGGCGCUUGCAGGCACAAAAGCAAAUAUUUCCGUUCCUGGUCAUACCCAACCCCCUCUACACGUCCCCACCGACACCUGAACCCUCCCUUUCCUCACCAGUUCCAGCACUGCAAGCCAGCCAUUUGUCACAAAGCCCUGGCUCUCUCCGACAGCGUCUCUCAUGCCUCCUACAGACUUGCAUCGAAAAGCUCCUUGUAUUAGCAUUGUGAUGAGGAUAUACCGUCGGAUAGCUGCUGAAUUUGAUAAACUCUGAGUGUGGUGCAAUAUAAAGGAAUGAGGCUGUAACUUCCUGAGGGUGUGUAAUCCAACUGACCGUUUUGAUUAUUCCGAGAGAAAGUGCGGGGGU